UACAUGUGGGGCAAGCGUUGUUCGGAAUUACUGGGCAUAAAGGGUGCGUAGGUGGCUUGUUAAGUCAGGGGUGAAAGUUUUCGGCCCAACCGGAAAAUGGCCUUUGAUACUGGCGAGCUCGAGUGCGUGAGGGGUAACCGGAACGAGCAGUGUAGCGGUGAAAUGCGUAGAUAUUGCUCGGAAGGCCAACGGCGAAGGCAGGUUACUGGUGCGGUACUGACGCUGAGGUGCGAAAGCGUGGGGAGCAAACAGG
rnacentral:rRNA from 1 species